rnacentral:rRNA from 1 species
GAUGAACGCUGGCGGCGUGCCUAAUACAUGCAAGUCGAGCGAACAGACGAGGAGCUUGCUCCUCUGACGUUGGCGGCGGACGGGUGAGUAACACGUGGAUAACCUACCUAUAAGACUGGGAUAACUUCGGGAAACCGGAGCUAAUACCGGAUAAUAUAUUGAACCGCAUGGUUCAAUAGUGAAAGACGGUUUUGCUGUCACUUAUAGAUGGAUCCGCGCCGCAUUAGCUAGUUGGUAAGGUAACGGCUUACCAAGGCAACGAUGCGUAGCCGACCUGAGAGGGUGAUCGGCCACACUGGAACUGAGACACGGUCCAGACUCCUACGGGAGGCAGCAGUAGGGAAUCUUCCGCAAUGGGCGAAAGCCUGACGGAGCAACGCCGCGUGAGUGAUGAAGGUCUUCGGAUCGUAAAACUCUGUUAUUAGGGAAGAACAAAUGUGUAAGUAACUAUGCACGUCUUGACGGUACCUAAUCAGAAAACCACGGCUAACUACGUG